rnacentral:lncRNA from 1 species
GCUGAUUCGAUGCCUGAGCUUUUCUUCUGUAAAUAACUUUUCAGCAGAGUAAGAGAAACUGCAGAAUUGAUAUCUUGCUUAGCAGUGUUGUUUGAAAUCUAACAUCAUCAAAUUUUUUUUUGCAGAGGAGCAAGAAAAAGAAAGAGAAAUGGCUGAAAAUGGAAAAGAGUAUGGAGAAGAUUAACUUUGGAAGUAAGAUAAUCAAUUCUAAGCACCAUCUAGAUGAUCAAGACCUGUAUCUUUUCUUAAUUUUCUGGCGUUGGAAUGAAGAAGGAUAGUUUUAUUUCUUUUUUUUUUCCUCUUGAAAAUGGAAGGAAACAGAAAAGAAGUGUUAUAGUUUAUUGAUACAGCUGAUGUGAAGAAGUAUAUAGCAUGAGUCACUUAAGAUUGUGCUUUAAUUCUGUAUGGAAUGAAAGCUGAAUGUUUGUUUAACCCCUCAAAACUCUCUCUGUGUUUGAAUUUCUCAUGAGAUUAGGGUUGGAACAAAUAAACUUUAUUUGCUGUAUUUAUUUAGAAAUGCAUAAUUAUGUGAAGCAAUGCUUUUUAAGUUCUUCUAAUUUUACUUAAAAUUACGACGGCCAUAGUAUUAAAAAUCAGUAACAGCUUAUGAAAACUGAAAAACGUUCAUAU